GAAAUGCGAUAAGUCAUGUGAAUUGCAGAAUUCAGUGAAUCAUCGAAUCUUUGAACGCACAUUGCGCCCGCCAGUAUUCUGGCGGGCAUGCCUGUUCGAGCGUCAUUUCAACCCUCAAGCCCUGCUUGGUGUUGGGGAUCGGCGUUGCCUCCUCCGUCGUUCGCGGCGUGGUGAGGUCGCCGCCCCCGAAAUGAAUUGGCGGUCUCGUCGCAGCUUUCCUUUGCGUAGUAACAUACCACCUCGCAACCAGGAGCGCGGCGCGGCCACUGCCGUAAAACGCCCAACUUUUUCAAGAGUUGACCUCGAAUCAGGUAGGAAUACCCGCUGAACUUAAGC
rnacentral:misc_RNA from 1 species